UUUUUUGGAGAGUUUGAUCCUGGCUCAGGACGAACGCUGGCGGCGUGCCUAAUACAUGCAAGUCGAGCGGACCGAAGGGAGCUUGCUCCUUUAGGUUAGCGGCGGACGGGUGAGUAACACGUGGGCAACCUGCCCUGCAGACUGGGAUAACUUCGGGAAACCGGAGCUAAUACCGGAUAACACCGAAAACCGCAUGGUUUUCGGUUGAAAGGUGGCAUUAGCUGUCACUGCAGGAUGGGCCCGCGGCGCAUUAGCUAGUUGGUGAGGUAACGGCUCACCAAGGCGACGAUGCGUAGCCGACCUGAGAGGGUGACCGGCCACACUGGGACUGAGACACGGCCCAGACUCCUACGGGAGGCAGCAGUAGGGAAUCUUCCGCAAUGGACGAAAGUCUGACGGAGCAACGCCGCGUGAGCGAAGAAGGUCUUCGGAUCGUAAAGCUCUGUUGUCAGGGAAGAACAAGUA
rnacentral:rRNA from 1 species